rnacentral:rRNA from 1 species
AGAGUACGUGAAACCGUUCAGGGGUAAACCUGAGAAACCCAAAAGAUCGAAUGGGGAGAUUCAUCGUCAGCCGCCUUGGCUUCCGUGUGGCGUGCGAUGACGCGAGACUUCGGUUUUGCGUUACGCCGUCGCUGCGGUAUGUCCGAGGUGGUCGUCGUGCACUUCUCCCCUAGUAGGACGUCGCGACCCGUUGGGUGUCGGUCUACGGCCCGGUUGGUUGCCUGGCGCGUCGCGUUCACGCGCGUUCGUGUCAGACCAUCGGUUGCCCGGCCGGCUGCCUGGCGGUAUUGAACGAUAUUAUCCUUCUGGUAUUGAGCCGCACAAAGUGCGUCCUGGCUCGUCGGCAGGCUCGUCUCACCCGGAUUCACGGACCUAGUGCCGUUGCUGGGUGCUUGGCGUGUCGUUAGUCGGCGAUGUCCUCGGACUGGCUCUUUAUAUUCGCCUCGCGCGGAUAUACCGGUCGGCGACGCUACUGCUUUGGGUACUUUCAGGACCCGUCUUGAAACACGGACCAAGGAGUCUAACAUGUGCGCGAGUCAUUGGGAUUUAUUUUAAACCUAAAGGCGCAAUGAAAGUAAAGGUCGUCCUAGCGUCGACCGAGGGAGGAUGGCUCGCGUCACGAUGCGAGCCCGCACUCCCGGGGCGUCUCGUGCUCAUUGCGAGCUGCGGCGCACCCAGAGCGUACACGUUGGGACCCGAAAGAUGGUGAACUAUGCCUGGUCAGGAUGAAGUCAGGGGAAACCCUGAUGGAGGUCCGUAG